CGGCGAUGUCUGAUUAGCUAGUUGGUGGGGUAAAGGCCUACCAAGGCGACGAUCAGUAGUUGGUCUGAGAGGACGACCAGCCACACUGGGACUGAGACACGGCCCAGACUCCUACGGGAGGCAGCAGUGGGGAAUUUUGGACAAUGGGCGCAAGCCUGAUCCAGCAAUGCCGCGUGAGUGAAGAAGGCCUUCGGGUUGUAAAGCUCUUUCAGUCGAGAAGAAAAAGCUGUGGUGAAUAACUGCGGUUUAUGACGGUAUCGACAGAAGAAGCACCGGCUAACUACGUGCCAGCAGCCGCGGUAAUACGUAGGGUGCGAGCGUUAAUCGGAAUUACUGGGCGUAAAGGGUGCGCAGGCGGUUUUGUAAGUCAGAUGUGAAAUCCCCGGGCUUAACCUGGGAAUUGCGUUUGAAAC
rnacentral:rRNA from 1 species